GAAAUUCAUGCCAAUUUUAAUUUUAUUAAAUGAUCUAGAUCAGUCACAAAGACCUUGAUUUUGAAAAUUUCCACGACUUCCAUCCAAGUUUGUAGGUUCAAACCUUCUCUCAUUAUUUCUGAAGAUCCUAUAAUUCUAUCAGUCUUAGUUUUACAGCUAUACAAGUUCUAUGAUGAGGCUCAAAUUUCAAUCUCACUGGAGUCACUUGACCUUGAUUCUAACUUGUAGGUCCCAUCAUCCUCUCAUCAUUUCUGAAGGUUCCAGUGGCCAUUUUCACAAAAUAAAUUUACGACUAAAUUAACCAUUCUGUGUCUGCUUUACACGCAAAUGAGUGCAACUACGCCCUGAGUAUGAAUGCCAGUUUAUUUACAUAUAGGUUUACUCAUUCAGAGAAUUAUAAAACAAUGAAAGUGUUUGAAAAUUUUCAUUUUGAUCGUAAGAUUUUUUGUGAAGUGUCACAGGUCCCUAUCAGACAUGGUUCUAAACCUUUUAUAUUCAAGGUCAUUGGAGUCACUUGACCUUGGUACUAGUUUGUAGGUCACAGUAUCCUUUUAUCUCUUAAGACCACAUGUCUAUCAAUCCAAGUUCUAAAUUAAUACGAGUUUUAAUGAUCAAGGUCACUGGAAAUAUUCAUUUUCCGGUCAUAGUAUUCUUUAAACAUUUCUGAAAAUUAAAUUUCUAUAUCACUCCCAGUUCUAAAAAAAAAAAAAAAAAAAAAGUACGAGCUUUAAUGGUCAAAGUUCAAGAUCAAAGGAAUCAUUUGACCUUGACACUGGUUUGUAUUCUCUUUUCAAUUCUGAAGAAACCAUAUACGAGAUAUGGAUUUCGGUUGUAGAGUUACACCAGUGUUAUGUUCAAGGUUAGAGGUGGAGCAUUUUUAUUGUUAUUCAAUUUGGAGAUGAAUUGAUUUCCUCUGUUAUUUUGUUACAUUCUUCCAAAGUUUAUGCCGCGAUGAUCUAGAGGUAGCGCGGUCGCCCUGCAUACGGAAGGUCGGAGUUUGAAUCCCAGCCACGAGUCGACAGACUUAAGUCAUUAAAACAGGUAGUGACAGUUCCAUUGCCAAACGCUCGGCAUCAGGUGUGAAUGUCACGGGCUGUAGUGUUACACAAUUCCGGAUUUUUAUGUUUGACCAUUUUGGUUUUGUACUUUAGAAAUUUACUCACCCGGAUGUACGCAAAAAAAGCACAUGGGACAAAUUUGUUUUUAUUUAGAAAUAGGUGUUUGGCUCUGCACGGAUCUUGUACCCUCUCCGGGGUUUUUGGAUCGCAAUAAAUAAUUGCACACGGGCCCUGCGAGAUGACCUUAAAAACAGAUGUCCUAUGUCAUUCUAGGUGUGGCACACUAAAGAACCCACACUGUUCAAUGGCCGUAAGCGCCGAGCAUAGUCCUCCACCGUCGAUGCAGGUUUGUACACCCUGGGUGGUAGACGUAGGACUGUGGAGGAACUUAUGGACAGGAUGCAGUACUACCAGCAUUCCCGAUAAACCAAGUCAACUUAAGCACAUGAUGAAGGAAAUAAGGAUGGUGGUCCAGGUGGAGGCCCAGCAACCGGUAUGAACACCGUCAUUAAAGAAGGAUUUAAUUUCAUUUAAGGGACUUUUGUCUGAGAAAUGAGGAACUGGAAAAGGAACUGCGGAAUUGACUCCUUCCCUCGAUGUAAUCACAGCAUGGGGCAUGAACAGAAACCCUCGAAUGCUUCAAGUGUGGGGCUGCUGGCUAUUUCAAGAGGGACUCAACUGAUCGCCCAGGAGGCAAGAGACACUUGAGCCUCAGGGGCGGGGAACGACGACCCAGUCACAGUUGGUCAAUCCACGGGGAUGUAUGGAUGCUGACACCGUAACUAGAGAGAGUACCAUCACCAUUAUUUCUUCACAGUGAUGGGAGUGAACAACUAAUACCUUACCCUCAAACGUUCAGGCCCCGGGAUUCUCAACAUCCUGCCUUCAACACCACCACCAAAGGUAGAUUCAUCAUUUGGCCCUGUUCCUUCUGGGUGUUCCUUGUCGUACCAACAGAAAUGGAAUAUAACCAUCACGGACAUAGUGAAUCAUCCAGAAGUAGUGUUUCCAAAAUUUAGGUUACCAAUAUUACAACCUUCAUAUGAAACAGUUUUACCAGAAAAUCAAUUCAACAAAUUUAUGGGUUUGCAAAUCAAUGAGUCAACCAGUUAUGAAGUUGAGGAGCAAACACGACUUCAAAGUAUGUCAUGAUGUUAGAAAAAACAGAUUAACAUCUUCUGUCUUCAAGGAUGUAUAUUCCCGUAGGUCAGACUUUCAUGCAUUAGCCUUGAGACUUUUAAAGUCAAAGAACAUAAUGACUGUCCAGAUGAAAUUGAGAAUGAGCCAGCAGCAGCAAGGGCAUAUAGUGAAAUAACUGGAAACAUUGUUUAUCUUUGUGGCUUUGUGAUAAAUCCGAGUGUUCCACAUCUUGGUACCUCACCUGAUAGGAAAGUGUUUGACCCUAAUGCAUUCCCUCAGUAUGGACUUCUAGAAAUAAAGUGUCCUAGUAAGGAUUCCUUUACUGAAUUCCUGGUACAGAGCUAGACCAAUCAGUCCUAUAAAUUGAAGGAUAGUCAUUGCUAUUACUUUCAAAUCAUGGGCCAAGUGACACUUAUUGGAAUAAAGUGGUGUGAAUUUUUGUCAAAUGUAGAAAAGAUUUCCAUAUGGAAAGAAUUACAUUUGACCAGGAGAAAUGAAAUUCCAUGCAGUAUACUCUGGACAAAUUUUACUUUGAAGAACUACUCCCACAAAUAUGUAAUAGAAUGUAAACACAUAUUCGUAUGUAAAACUUUGUAUUAUGUCCCCAACCUACACCCGGCGGCCAUGAAUUUUACAAACUUGAAUCUAUACUAUAUCAGAAAACUUUCAUGUAAAUGUAAACUUUUCUGGUCCAGUGGUUCUUGAGAAUAUGAUUUUCAAAUAUUUUCCCUAUAUAUCCGCAUGUAAAACUUUGAUUCCCUACUCCAAGGGGUCAUGAAUUUAACAAACUUGAGUCUUUACUAUGUCAACAAGCUUUCAUGUAAAUUCGAGCUUUUCUGGCUGAGUGGUUCUUGAGAAGAUUUUUAGUUGAAAUUGGCCCAGUGGUUCUGAAAAAGAAGUUGAAAAUAUGAAAGGUUUACAGACAGACAGACAACUGGUGAUCAGAAAAGCUCACUUGAGCUUCAGCUCAGGUGAGCUAUAAAAAAACCCACAAGAUAUCCAAAACUCGGGAUAUUCCAUUUUUUUGUUGAUUUAUUUUAAUUUUGAUACUACUUUACCCUUUGUUAUUUUUCUAUGUAAUUUGUUAUUUGUUAUAAAUUGCGUGCUAAAUCAUCCUAUUUCAUUAAUAAAUUGUAAACUCCUUACUAGUGU